rnacentral:lncRNA from 1 species
CUCUUUCUAAAUAGUGCAUUCAGAGUUUGAAAAUGCAGGAUGAACUAGACUGCAUCCCUUUCCAGCCUCCUUCCUUCUGUCACCAGCCUCGCAAGUUCUCCAAGGAGCCUUCUAUGCCCGCUUGCUCCUCCCCCCUCCCACCCAGCCUCCUCUCACCUUUGACCUCUCACCACCACCAGAGGCGGGGAGCGCGGUGGGAGAAGCAGUUUUUAUCUGUUACACAGGGACUGACCUACAGCUCUAAGAGCUGGAAUAAAACGAAAGCCCUCACCCUAGGAAGGAAUUCAGUCUCCUCCAUCGGCCCCCUUCUCCCAGCUCCCGGCUCCCCAUCCCCCACUGAGUGGGUUCCAAUCCCUGGGCCUUCUUGCUGGGAGCUCCAAGCUUCAGACCUGCUGUGGCCUCCACCUGGAACAUUCUUCCUCCAAAUCGUCCCUGGGCUCCCUUCCUCCUGUCAUGAAGCUCUCUGCUCAAACAGCACUUCUUCCCACCAUGGGUAAGCCGGCGCCCACCAGCCCCGUCCGUCCGUCUCCGUCGCAUUGCCCUGGUUUAUUUCCCUCGUGGUGCUCGUCACCAUCUGACCUUCACCAUGGAUUUGUCUAUUUAUUGUCUGUCUCCCUACCCAGGACACAGAUACCUUGAGGACAGGGACUUCAGGGAUUUGUUCCCGGCAUGUGAAAGGAAACAUUAUUCACUAAGUGGUUUCCUACCUCAAUAUUCAAAGUUUGAGCCAAGAAAGAAAGGAAGUGGAGAGCUACUGAGUACGCGUCAGGUGCUAAGGCUGGUAAGGCACAGAUUCACACCCAAAUCUGGCAGAUGCAGACACUGGGCGUCAGAGGAGGUAAGGAAAGUUGCUAAUAAGCUGCCGCGCUGACACCAGAACCCUUUCUCCUACGCACACUGCUGGCUCCCACUCUGAGCUGCCUGCUCCAGACUCCAGGGCUCCCUCUGGGUGUCCCGUCAACGGUGGAUACCGUCACAGGGACUGUGGUGACGUGCGGUCUCUCGGGUUCUUAAGAAGCCCCUGAGUUGCCCCUCAUCAGCUGCGGGGCAGCGGCCCUGCCUUUGAUUCAGAGCUGCGGGCCCGUGUGUUGGGGGUGAGGGCGGUGUGUGGGCAUAGGGAUGCUUUCUGGAAUGAUAGAUCGUCUGGAUGCCCAGCCUCUGCGGGCUCCAAGGCUGAGAUAAACUCGAAGGCACCUGCCCAUCCCAGGCGUCCCUCUCAUCCUCCCUCAUGAGGUAACUCACAGGCAACAGAAAGAGCAGUUGGACGCUCCAGGCUAGAGAUCACUGGGCAGAACCACCUUUCAGAUGGACAAGCCCGGCGAGCCGCCAGCAAAGGUGGGCUCGCACGUGUGUGGUCAGGCACCAGGGUUAACCAGCUAGCCCUUGAGCUGUGAUCUGACUUCGUCUUUUCUCCUUCCUUCCCCCAACACCACACACACACACACACACACACACACACACAGAGUUUUAUCUUUUGAUCUGAGAUAGGCAACGUCAGAGCUGCAGCUUGGAAACAGGGUCAUACGUUCGUGUCAUGAGGAAGAGGGCCUAGACAGAGUCUGAGCAGCUCUUAAGGGCAGGAUAAGGCUCAGGGGAGGGCAACGGGGGUCACAGAGAGGUAGAUUUGGGGUUAAUAUGGACAGAGACGUCCUAAUAACUAGAGCUGACAAAUGAGCAGCCUGCUCCAUGAGGCAGCAGUUGCUGGAACUCAAAGGGAACAGAAGAUGGCUGCCCAGCCUCUGCUGAGGAACGGGGGGGACACCUCAGCCUCCCACAGUCCUCCCAGCUCCGAGAGCUGAAGACAUCUGGAAAUAGUUCAGUUCCUGUCGUCUUUUGUGGAAUCCUCCUGCUGAGUCACUGUUCCCUACAGUCGCUGUGACACAUGCCUGGUUCAAGAGGAAAGCUUUUAUCUCCAUAUCCCAAAGGCACUCGGUCUGAAUCUUUAAGAAAGGAGAUACAUUUAUAAACAGGGGCUUUCCAUUUGCUCUUCAAAGAGAAUUUUACAUACAUUUCUCAUAUUUUAACUCUCCCCCUGUGAUAUAUUCAAAAAGAACGUCACUGCGCAUAGUACGCUUGGAGGGCACUGUUCAAACGUUCUCAACACCCAGGGAGUCAAAAUUGAUGUUCUGCUUUCUGAAAUAGCCAGAUAAAGCCUCCCAUUAGCCCCCAAAUCUCUGCUCAGGACCCUGACUCAGCUUGCACCCCUCUGGGGCGAUAGAGAGAACUCACUAACCUUCUUAAAGCAGGAAGGAAAUAUUUGCCUUUGCUAUUGUGAACCUGCUGUGUGACCUUGGGAAGUUACUUACCUUCUCAAGUCUCAGCAUCCUCAUGUGAAAUGUGGAGGUUACAAUAGUACCUAGUGCACAG